CCUACGGGAGGCAGCAGUGAGGAAUAUUGGUCAAUGGCCGAGAGGCUGAACCAGCCAAGUCGCGUGAGGGAAGACGGCCCUACGGGUUGUAAACCUCUUUUGUCGGGGAGCAAAGCGACCCACGUGUGGUUCAUUGAGAGUACCCGAAGAAAAAGCAUCGGCUAACUCCGUGCCAGCAGCCGCGGUAAUACGGAGGAUGCGAGCUUUAGUCGGAUUUAUUGGGUUUAAAGGGUGCGCAGGCGGAGGGGCAAGUCAGCGGUCAAAUUGCGGGGUGCAACCCCGUACUGGCGUUGAAACUGCAUCCCUUGAGUGCGCGAGAAGUAUGCGGAAUGCGUGGUGUAGCGGUGAAAUGCAUAGAUAUCACGCAGAACUCCGAUUGCGAAGGCAGCAUACCGGCGCGCAACUGACGCUCAUGCACGAAAGCGUGGGUAUCGAACAGGAUUAGAUACCCGUGUAGUC
rnacentral:rRNA from 1 species